UGGGGAAUUUUGCACAAUGGGGGAAACCCUGAUGCAGCGACGCCGCGUGAUUUAGAAGGCCUUCGGGUUGUAAAAAUCUUUUGUAUGGGAAGAAAAUGACAGUACCAUACGAAUAAGGACCGGCUAAUUUCGUGCCAGCAGCCGCGGUAAUACGGAAGGUCCAGGCGUUAUCCGGAUUUAUUGGGUUUAAAGGGAGCGUAGGCUGUUUGUUAAGCGUGUUGUGAAAUGUAAGAGCUCAACUUUUAGAUUGCAGCGCGACCUGGCAGACUUGAGUGCGCACAACGUAGGCUGAAUUCAUGUUGUAGCGGUGAAAUGCUUAGUUAUCAUGACGAACUCCGAUUGCGAAGGCAGCUUACGGGUGCGCAACUGACGCUAAAGCUCGAAGGUGCGGGUAUCGAACAGG
rnacentral:rRNA from 1 species